rnacentral:rRNA from 1 species
GAUGAACGCUGGCGGCGUGCCUAAUACAUGCAAGUAGAACGCUGAAGGAAGGAGCUUGCUCUUUCCGGAUGAGUUGCGAACGGGUGAGUAACGCGUAGGUAACCUGCCUGGUAGCGGGGGAUAACUAUUGGAAACGAUAGCUAAUACCGCAUAACAGUAGAUGUUGCAUGAUAUCUACUUAAAAGGUGCAAUUGCACCACUACCAGAUGGACCUGCGUUGUAUUAGCUAGUUGGUGAGGUAACGGCUCACCAAGGCGACGAUACAUAGCCGACCUGAGAGGGUGAUCGGCCACACUGGGACUGGGACACGGCCCAGACUCCUACGGGAGGCAGCAGUAGGGAAUCUUCGGCAAUGGACGGAAGUCGGACCGAGCAACGCCGCGUGAGUGAAGAAGGUUUUCGAAUCGUAAAGCUCUGUUGUAAGAGAAGAACGAGUGUGAGAGUGGAAAGUUCACACUGUGACGGUAUCUUACCAGAAAGGGACGGCUAACUACGUG